GGAAGGGUCUCUUUCUGGAGAUUCCUCCUUUUGGAGUUUUCUACUAAUUAUACUUCUGCAUUUUCUCCUGGUGCCACUCUGCAUUUCUGGAACUUGGCAGAUCCUAUCUACAGCAAGAGAUGAAAGAGAUCUUGCAAGGGUACCCGGGUGUUCCUAUUGCAAAUGCUGUGCUUGGAGCUUACAAAUAAAGGACAAGGAAAAGAAAAGGCUUUGAACAAAAAUUCACAUGAUGUAGCUGUCAUUAACUGCUGCAAGUACUUGCAGAACGCAUGUGCAAGAAUGAGAUGAUACCCACUUUCUCAGACAGACAGGAUAUCCUAUACAAUCCAAGAAAUCGUCCAGGAUAAAGGCUAUUUUACAAAUAUCUAGCGAGAAAAAGACUAAUAAUCUCUUUCUCCUUUACAUCUUCCUGUUAACUAAACUCUACCUUUUCAAACCUCUGAGCAAGUAUCUGAAGGACAUCAAGCCUGGGCCAGUUGUGAGGAAUUAAUAGAACAUACAAAGGGAUUGUGCUGUGUACAACAUCACAAUUAACUUACUCAUUAAAUAGGUAAUAGCACUUGACUGUUAAAUGGUGAAGGAAUGUGUUUGCUAAAUGAAUUUUGCUACUUGUUUAAAGGAUAUGGUUUAGGGUCUCAUUAAAUAAUGAUGUUUCCAGGAAAGGCUGAUUGCAAAUCCUGCCCUUUCUCCUGGCUCAGAGACCUUCAUCUCACAGAAUCAAAGAAUCUCAUUCCCAGAGAAUUUGAAUGAGAACAUGUAUUUUCUCAGAUUUGAUGCACUGUUGGCCACAGCUAUGCAGAGAAUAAGCCAUCCACAACCAGAUGAAAUCUGCAAGUAUGAUAUCCUAAGAAAUCAAGGAAAGGUGUUUUCUUUCACUCUCCAGUAAAUAAAGUUUCAGAUCUCUUUAAACAAUUUGAGAUAUCAAACAUACUUCUCAGAAGAAUCAACAGAAGCAUCAUGUUCCUCAAAGUCAUACUUUGUUUGUUCUUCCAUUCCAGAAGUUUCCUUAACAACAAGGAUAAUCAAGCUUUGACAGGAUUGUGCUCUGAAAUGUCAGUGCUGUUUAUUUUUUGCUCUUGACUUCAACAGUAUGAUCUAAAUUAUCAGAUCUUGAUCUAUGGGAAUCAUAAAUCAUAGGAAACAGGUACCUAAAGAAUUGAAUAGUAAGUUUCACUUUGUUUUCAAGGUAGUCUAGUAUUAGAUAUGGAGGUUGGUGGCCCUGCCUGCAGCAGGGCAGGUUGGAGCUUGUUGACCCUUGAGGGCCCUUCCAACCCAAGCCAUUCUAUGAUUCUGUGAAAUUUGAGUCUAUAGCUCCACAAGUUUUUUGUCCAGUCAAAUUAUUGUUCUGUUUUGUUUGGUUUUGCUUUAAUAUUCUUUUUAAUUGCUUAAAAUGAAACACUGCAAUAUCUGAUUUUCCCCAAAGUUUGAAGACAAGAUAUUCUGAUCUGAAGUUCUGCUGAGGAAUGUGUCUAAUUUUAAUUAAAGCAAACUAUUACAGAAUGUAAACGCUGCAAGUUUCUGUUCAAUUCUCCCUUGGUACAGGCCAUCUUAUAAAUACAGUGUCAUCUCUUUGAAAGUGAGACAGACUCUCUAACCUCUUGCAGGAUGCAUAAAAUCCUGCCCAUAUGUCAUGUGGCUGCCACCUUAACUUCUCAUGAGACAGGAAAUCCUGGCAACCAUUUCAGAACUUGAAAAAGCACUUUUUAAGAAGUUUGUUUGUUCUUGUUGUUGUUUUUAAUAUAAAAGCAAAGCUUCAUGUUGUCUAAACCAUCAUUGAGUUUCUUCUUAUAGGAUAAACCCUUUCCUCAGUGCUUAGCUCAUGGCUUUCAGCUGGAUACUGGGGAGCUAAGUGGAAGAAAAGGAAGAAAUAUUUUCUUCAUAAAUUCCAAGCAAGAUGUUGUUCUUUCUAAAGAAAUUACAUUGUUUCAGUGGCUUCAGCCUAUUUCCAGCUUUCAGUCCUGUG